rnacentral:rRNA from 1 species
UACGUAGGGGGCAAGCGUUGUCCGGAAUCACUGGGCGUAAAGCGCGCGCAGGCGGUCAUCUACGUCUGGGGUGAAAGCCCGGAGCUCAACUCCGGGAUUGCCUUGGAUACGGGAUGACUUGAGGAUCGGAGAGGCAAGGGGAAUUCCACGUGUAGCGGUGAAAUGCGUAGAGAUGUGGAGGAACACCUGUGGCGAAGGCGGCUCUCUGGGACGGUACUGACGCUGAGACGCGAAAGCGUGGGGAGCGAACAGG